GCGCACCAGGCGAGAAACUUUACAAUGUGCGAAAGCACGAUAAGGGAACUCUGAGUGCCUCCUAAGGAGGCUGUUCAGGUGUCUAAAAGCACCUGGAGUAAGGGCUGGGUAAGACCGGUGCCAGCCGCCGCGGUAACACCGGCAGCCCAGGUGGUAGCCACUUUUAUUGGGUCUAAAGCGUCCGUAGCCGGUUGAGUAAGUUCCUUGGGAAAUUUGGCUGCUCAACAGUCAAGCUUCCAGGGAAUACUGCUCGACUUGGGACUGGGAGAGGUCAGAGGUACUCCAGGGGUAGGGGUGAAAUCCAUUAAUCCCUGGGGGACCACCGGUAGCGAAGGCGUCUGACCAGACCAGGUCCGACGGUGAGGGACGAAGGCUAGGGGCGCGAACCGGAUUAGAUA
rnacentral:rRNA from 1 species